rnacentral:rRNA from 1 species
GACGAACGCUGGCGGCGUGCUUAACACAUGCAAGUCGAGCGGUAAGGCCCUUUCGGGGGUACGACGAGCGGCGAACGGGUGAGUAACACGUGGGUGACCUGCCCUUAGCUCUGGGAUAAGCCUGGGAAACUGGGUCUAAUACCGGAUAUGACUCCAUGACGCAUGUUGUGGGGUGGAAAGCCUUGUGCGGCUAGGGAUGGGCCCGCGGCCUAUCAGCUUGUUGGUGGGGUGAUGGCCUACCAAGGCGACGACGGGUAGCCGGCCUGAGAGGGCGACCGGCCACACUGGGACUGAGACACGGCCCAGACUCCUACGGGAGGCAGCAGUGGGGAAUCUUGCGCAAUGGGCGAAAGCCUGACGCAGCGACGCCGCGUGAGGGAUGACGGCCUGGUG